UACGUAGGGUGCGAGCGUUGUCCGGAAUUAUUGGGCGUAAAGGGCGCGUAGGCGGGAUGGCAAGUCGGUCGUGAAAUCCCUCGGCUCAACCGAGGAACGUCGAUCGAUACUGCUGUUCUUGAGGAUUGCAGAGGAGACUGGAAUUCCUGGUGUAGCGGUGAAAUGCGCAGAUAUCAGGAGGAACACCGGUGGCGAAGGCGGGUCUCUGGGCAGUAACUGACGCUGAGGAGCGAAAGCGUGGGGAGCGAACAGG
rnacentral:rRNA from 1 species